rnacentral:rRNA from 1 species
GACAGAGGCCUCAAGCGUUAGGCGGAAUCACUGGGCUUAAAGCGUGUGUAGGCGGAUCGUUAAGUGUCUUGUGAAAUCCCACGGCUCACCCGUGGAACGGCUGGGCAUACUGGCGAUCUUGGGCCAACUAGGGGCAACUGGAACAAGCGGUGGAGCGGUGAAAUGCGUAGAUAUCGCUUGGAACGCCGAAGGUGAAAACAGGUUGCUGGGGUUGUGCCGACGCUGGAGACACGGAAAGCCAGGGGAGCAAACGGG